GCAUCUGAAACUUCCCCGCUCCUUGAGGUACAGUUCUGGACUGGGGACACAUGAUGCAACAGGGAAGCAGAGGAAAUCCAGACAAGCUCCCUUUCACCACAGUGGGACUUGUCUCUACGCCUUUGCAACAUUU
ensembl:snoRNA